rnacentral:rRNA from 1 species
UACAGAGGGGGCAAGCGUUAUUCGGAAUUAUUGGGCGUAAAGGGCGCGUAGGCGGCAAUUCAAGUCAGGUGUGAAAUGCCUGAGCUCAACUGAGGCAUUGCGCUUGAAACUGAACUGCUUGAGUAUCCCAGGGGUGUGCGGAACUGCCAGUGGAGCGGUGAAAUGUGUUGAUAUUGGCAGGAACACCGGAGGCGAAAGCGGCACACUGGGGGAUAACUGACGCUGAGGCACGAAAGCCAGGGGAGCGAACGGG